GAAUUGUAAUUUGUAGAAGAUGCUUCGGGUGUGGUUCCGGUCUAAGUUCCUUGGAACAGGACGUCAUAGAGGGUGAGAAUCCCGUAUGUGACUGGAUACCUAUGCUCAUGUGAAGCUCUUUCGAC
rnacentral:rRNA from 1 species